rnacentral:rRNA from 1 species
AUUGAACGCUGGCGGCAGGCCUAACACAUGCAAGUCGAGCGGAUGACAGGAGCUUGCUCCUGGAUUCAGCGGCGGACGGGUGAGUAAUGCCUAGGAAUCUGCCUGGUAGUGGGGGACAACGUUUCGAGAGGAACGCUAAUACCGCAUACGUCCUACGGGAGAAAGCAGGGGACCUUCGGGCCUUGCGCUAUCAGAUGAGCCUAGGUCGGAUGAGCUAGUUGGUGAGGUAAUGGCUCACCAAGGGUACGAUCCGUAACUGGUCUGAGAGGGUGUUCAGUCACACUGGAACUGAGACACGGUCCAGACUCCUACAGGAGGCAGCAGUGGGGAAAAUUGGACAAUGGGCGAAAGCCUGAUCCAGCCAUGCCGCGUGUGUGAAGAAGGUCUUCGGAUUGUAAAGCACUUUAAGUUGGGAGGAAGGGUUGUAGAUUAAUACUCUGCAAUUUUGACGUUACCGACAGAAUAAGCACCGGCUAACUCUGUGCCAGCAGCCGCCGUAAAAC